AACGAACGCUGGCGGCAUGCCUAACACAUGCAAGUCAAACGAGACCUUCGGGUCUAGUGGCGCACGGGUGCGUAACGCGUGGGAAUCUGCCCUUGGGUUCGGAAUAACAGUUGGAAACGACUGCUAAUACCGGAUGAUGACGUAAGUCCAAAGAUUUAUCGCCCAAGGAUGAGCCCGCGUAGGAUUAGCUAGUUGGUGAGGUAAAGGCUCACCAAGGCGACGAUCCUUAGCUGGUCUGAGAGGAUGAUCAGCCACACUGGGACUGAGACACGGCCCAGACUCCUACGGGAGGCAGCAGUGGGGAAUAUUGGACAAUGGGCGAAAGCCUGAUCCAGCAAUGCCGCGUGAGUGAUGAAGGCCUUAGGGUUGUAAAGCUCUUUUACCCGGGAUGAUAAUGACAGUACCGGGAGAAUAAGCUCCGGCUAACUCCGUG
rnacentral:rRNA from 1 species